CCACAACCACAAUCCCAACCACAAUCCCAACCACAAUCCCAACAACCACAAUCCCAACAACCACAAUCCAAACAACCACAACAACAACAACAGUAACAACAACAAUAACAACAACAGUAACAACAACAACAACAACAGUAACAACAUAAUGCAAUGUUACAAAAAUAAUUUAGAAAAUGAUUUAGUAAAUUUUGCUAACACUACAUAUAUAGAUAUUCAUAAAAUUGUUCAAAAUGAUGAUUUAUUAAAAAAAGAAUUUAUAAGUAUAGAAGAAAGUUUUAAAAAUAUACCAUCUCCUAUUAAAAAUAGUCGUAAAAUAAAACAAAGAUAUGAUAAUAAUACAGGAAAUGUUGAUAAACAAAUUAUGUAUAAUAAUUAUGAUCAUUUGUUAUAUUUUGGUAAUAUGUUAAGAAAAGAUGAAUAUAUGAAUUUUAAUAAUGACGAAUUAUAUUUUUUUCAAAAUAAUAACAUUCCACCAAACUUAUUAAAUAAUGACUUAAGUAGUGAUAGUGUAAUAAAUAAUAAUAUAGAAAAAAUUAUAGAUAUAAUGAAUACAAACAAUGAAAGUAUUAUAAAUAAAAAUUUCAUGCUUGAUCAUGAAUAUUAUACUGGUAAUGGAACAGGUCAAGGUCCAAAUCAUGGAACAAUUAAUAACAUAAACAAUAUAAAUAAUGGAAGUAAUAAUCCUAACUCUAUAUCUAGUGGUAAUAAAAACAAGAAAAAAGAAAAUCAAAAGUUUUUUCCUUAUAACAACAAUAAUAUGCACGUUAAUACAAAUAUACAUGGUAAUAUGAAUAAUUUGCAAAACAACAUUGGUAUACAAAAUAACAUGGGAGGAAUACAUGGUAAUAUGAAUAUACAUGGAAAUAUAAAUAUGCAAGGUGGUAACAACAUUUUAAAUAAUUAUACAUCGGGUAGUAAUACAGUAGUUGGUACAGACCCAAACACACCCGUAAGUAUAAAUACAGAUACAACAGUACAAAACAAUCGACAAUCUACGAAGGAUAAAAAAAGAAAAACAAAUUAUAAUAUUAAUGAAACUAGCGAUUUAUUAUCAUAUAAAUUACGAAAAUAUAAUAGCGGAACUGAAAUAACAGACAUAAAUGAUAUAAAUGACAGUAUGGAUAACAAUGACAAUAUGUCUGACGACGAGACUAAAAGUAUUAUUCAAAGAUAUAACACAAAAGAAAAAAAAAAAAAAUACCAAAAAAUGGAUAUAAGAUCUUUAAAUAGAAAUGUACAUAAAAAUAAAGAAAUUUUUAUUAAUUGUUACAUACAUUAUGACAAUUUAAAAUCGAGUUAUAUAUUAACAUUUAUUAAUAGAAAACAAAAAAAACAAAGAAAGUUAUUCCCUGUUGAGGUUAAUGAAAAUGAUGAAACAUAUAUUUUACAAAUAAUUAAUUAUAUUGAAAAAUUAAAAAAACAAAAUAAAAUAUUUGGUGUAGAUAAAGAUGAUGUAUAUACAAUAACAGAUCACAGUACAUAUAAUAAUAAAGAAGAAGAUGAACAAGAGGAACAAGAACAACGACCAGAACAACGACCAGAACAACGACCAGAACAGGAACAACGACCAGAACAACAAC
ensembl:lncRNA